rnacentral:rRNA from 1 species
UGGUAGUGUAUUGGACUACCAUGGCUCUCACGGGUAACGGGGAAUUAGGGUUCGAUUCCGGAGAAGGAGCCUGAGAAACGGCUACUACAUCUAAGGAAGGCAGCAGGCGCGUAAAUUACCCAAUCCUGACUCAGGGAGGUAGUGACAAGAUAUAACGACGCGACCAAAAUCGCGAUUGUAGUGAGGGUAUUCCAAACCGAACCACUAGUACGAUUGGAGGGCAAGUCUGGUGCCAGCAGCCGCGGUAAUUCCAGCUCCAAUAGCGUAUAUUAAAGUUGUUGCAGUUAAAAAGCUCGUAGUUGGAUUUCAAGGAAUGCAUUGCGCAAGCUCUGCAUCCUACCAGUCUUUGACUGUUACUGUGAGAAAAUUAGAGUGUUUCAAGCAGGCUGUUGCAGGAAUACAUUAGCAUGGAAUAACGAAUGUGUCUAGAAUCUUGGUUAAUUCUAGAUUACGAUUAAUAGGGACAGUUGGGGGCAUUAGUAUUUAAUUGUCAGAGGUGAAAUUCUUGGAUUUGUUAAAGACUAACGUAUGCGAAAGCAUUUGCCAAGGAUGUUUUCAUUAAUCAAGAACGAAAGAUAGGGGAUCAAAGACAAUCAGA